rnacentral:rRNA from 1 species
UAGGGAAUCUUCGGCAAUGGACGAAAGUCUGACCGAGCAACGCCGCGUGAGUGAAGAAGGUUUUCGGAUCGUAAAACUCUGUUGUUAGAGAAGAACAAGGACGUUAGUAACUGAACGUCCCCUGACGGUAUCUAACCAGAAAGCCACGGCUAACUACGUGCCAGCAGCCGCGGUAAUACGUAGGUGGCAAGCGUUGUCCGGAUUUAUUGGGCGUAAAGCGAGCGCAGGCGGUUUCUUAAGUCUGAUGUGAAAGCCCCCGGCUCAACCGGGGAGGGUCAUUGGAAACUGGGAGACAUGGGUGCAGAAGAGGAGAGUGGAAUUCCAUGUGUAGCGGUGAAAUGCGUAGAUAUAUGGAGGAACACCAGUGGCGAAGGCGGCUCUCUGGUCUGUAACUGACGCUGAGGCUCGAAAGCGUGGGGAGCAAACAGG